GCACUUCCAAAGUCAGGUGAAAAUGCCUAUAUUCGACAUGUCGGGACACCGACUAUGGCGAUAAACGGUGCGCGAAAUAGGCGUUACGGACCCGGGGGCAGUACCCGGCGCCUCCACCAUAACCGCAUGGCCCGGCUAAUUUGAUUGCUCGGCGGGACUUUUUGGGAGUGCGGUUUUGUUGGGGGCGACACAGGAUCGACGUGCGCGGUAAAGGUGUAUUUUUCGCCCGGCAUGAUACCACCGUUAUCGGGUCACAUUCACAAAUGCCAAUGACAACGAGGCAUUUGCAGUCGCCGCAUAGGUAACUGCGGGGUUCGGGGGGCACCUGGCAACAGAAGCCCCUCACU
rnacentral:tmRNA from 1 species